rnacentral:rRNA from 1 species
UGGGGAAUAUUGGACAAUGGGCGCAAGCCUGAUCCAGCCAUGCCGCGUGUGGGAAGAAGGCCUUCGGGUUGUAAACCACUUUUGUCAGGGAAGAAACGGCCUGAUCUAAUACAUUGGGUUAAUGACGGUACCUGAAGAAUAAGCACCGGCUAACUACGUGCCAGCAGCCGCGGUAAUACGUAGGGUGCGAGCGUUAAUCGGAAUUACUGGGCGUAAAGCGUGCGCAGGCGGUUGUGUAAGUCAGAUGUGAAAUCCCCGGGCUCAACCUGGGAAUUGCAUUUGAGACUGCACGGCUAGGGUGUGUCAGAGGGGGGUAGAAUUCCACGUGUAGCAGUGAAAUGCGUAGAUAUGUGGAGGAAUACCGAUGGCGAAGGCAGCCCCCUGGGACAACACUGACGCUCAUGCACGAAAGCGUGGGGAGCAAACAGGAUUAGAUACCCGCGUAGUCCCUGAGCGGGCUGGCAAGGCGCAU